rnacentral:rRNA from 1 species
UACACUCCUACGGGAGGCAGCAGUAGGGAAUCUUCCACAAUGGGUGCAAACCUGAUGGAGCAAUGCCGCGUGAGUGAAGAAGGUCUUCGGAUCGUAAAGCUCUGUUGUUAGAGAAGAACACGUGCUAGGUAACUACUAGCGCCUUGACGGUAUCUAACCAGAAAGUCACGGCUAACUACGUGCCAGCAGCCGCGGUAAUACGUAGGUGACAAGCGUUGUCCGGAUUUAUUGGGCGUAAAGGGAGCGCAGGCGGUCUGUUUAGUCUAAUGUGAAAGCCCACGGCUUAACCGUGGAACGGCAUUGGAAACUGACAGACUUGAAUGUAGAAGAGGAAAAUGGAAUUCCAAGUGUAGCGGUGGAAUGCGUAGAUAUUUGGAGGAACACCAGUGGCGAAGGCGAUUUUCUGGUCUAACAUUGACGCUGAGGCUCGAAAGCGUGGGGAGCGAACAGGAUUAGAUACCCUUGUAGUCCCAUG